UUUCGGGACUGAAAGGUCUAACCCAUUAUUAUUUAAAUAUACAUUUAGUUCAUUCAAACUAGCAUUUAUGAGUUCACAGGCCUUUUGUACGGAUUUAUUUCUUGAGUAGAGCACUAUGUCAUCGGCAUAUUGUAAAAUUGAUAUAUAAUCUGGCAAAUUGGAACUAAGGUCGUAUGUAUAUACAUUAAAAAGUAAAGGGCUAAGAACAGAACCCUGUGGUAGUCCUUUCCAAACUGUCCUGUGAAAUACUUUAUCAUCUAAAUCUAACCUAAUCGUCCGUUCAUAAAACAUAGCAGCAAUAAUAUUACACAAGCGUUCAGGAACUCCCAAGAGGAACAACUUAUUUACAAGAAUUGAUAUAUUUACAUUAUCAUAGGCCGAAUUGAUGUCUAUAAAACAAGCUACGACAUAUUCCCGUUUCGAGAAGGCUAAAAGGAUAUCAGAAACUAACAAACCCACACAGUCUAAAGUGCUUCUGCUUUUGCGAAAACCAUAUUGAAUAUCGGGUAAUAAUUUUUUACUCUCAAUAAACCACUCUAACCUAUUUUUAACUAAAUGUUCUAAAAUCUUAAUUAAAACAGAAGAUAACGCAAUUGGACGAUAAGAAUUUGGAUCAUUACGGGGUUUAUUCGGUUUGAGAAAGGGUAACACCAACUGUAUUUUCCAAUUUGGUGGAAUGUCACCUGUCAUAAAAAUCCCGUUGAUAAUAUUAAGAAAGUAACCUAUAACGUUGUCACUAGAAUGUUUCAAAAAUGAAUAUGGAAUACCGUCGCAUCCUGGUGCAGAAUCAAUAACAUAUGAUAAGACAUUCUUUAGCUCUAAAAACGAAAAUGGACUGUUAAAAGGCUGCACGUUAUCAUUAUCAAUAUUGGGCGAGGAAGCCAGUUCAGGACACACAGGGAAUGGGACAAAUGAAGGAGCUAAUUUAUCUAAAAAUUUCUCGGCUACUGGAGGAUCAAGAUUGAUGGCGUUAUUUUCUACAAAAGCUCCUCUAAACAUUCUAACCUUCCUCCAAACUUCUGACGGCUUCUGAACAUUCAGAAUCCCACCAUGGAGGGCUGGGAAUAUUGAAUUUAGAGGACUUCUUACGAGGAAAUACUUCAUCAGCUAUAUUAAUUAUAAACUUAGCAAAAGCAUCAGAAGUUUUAAACAAAUUUUCACGAGAUACAUCGGGAAAAGAAAUGAGAAUUGGAAAAUGAUCACUGCCAUAGGAAAGUGGAAGUACCUCCCACAGUAAGGAGUGUGAUAUGGAAGAGCUACAAAUUGAUAAAUCUAAUGCACUAGGAUUCUCAUUGGGAGCAGACCGACGCGUAGGAACACCAGAAUUCAAUAUACAUAAAUUAUAAUAAUCAA